AAGAGACAGCAGCAGCCGCGGGAACACGUAGGUGGCGAGCGUUGUCCGGAAUCAUUGGGCGUAAAGGGAGCGCAGGCGGGCAAGUAAGUCUUUCUUAAAAGUUCGGGGCUCAACCCCGUGAUGGGAAAGAAACUACAUGUCUUGAGUACAGGAGAGGAAAGCGGAAUUCCCAGUGUAGCGGUGAAAUGCGUAGAGAUGUGGAGGAACACCAGUGGCGAAGGCGACUCUCUGGUCUGUAACUGACGCUGAGGAGCGAAAGCGUGGGGAGCGAACAGGAUUAGAUACCCGCGUAGUCCCUGUCUCUUAUACA
rnacentral:rRNA from 1 species